AAGUCGUAACAAGGUUUCCGUAGGUGAACCUGCGGAAGGAUCAUUACCUGGAACGGUCUCGUAGGAUGCAAAAUAAAUCUGAAAUUAAACUUAAGUUUUUGAUUUCAGAGUUGCUCCGAAAAGACUAAAGAUUAAAACAGCCCCAAGAAACUCGUAAUUCUUGGACGGCAGUGAGAAUUGGUUUAAUUGGUAUUUGCUUUUGCCCGUAACAACGGCAGGAAAGAGUUAAAAUGAACUAAUUCUCAUUGGUCUCUAACCACUUACAUAUGUUUUAUUUACUCUGGAAUUUUGUUUUUUAUGAAUAAUAAAUGACAACUUUUAACGGUGGAUCUCUUGGCUCGUG
rnacentral:misc_RNA from 1 species